CCUGUGACAUACCUAUAACGUUGCCUCGGCGGGAACAGACGGCCCCGUAACACGGGCCGCCCCCGCCAGAGGACCCCCUAACUCUGUUUCUAUAAUGUUUCUUCUGAGUAAACAAGCAAAUAAAUUAAAACUUUCAACAACGGAUCUCUUGGCUCUGGCAUCGAUGAAGAACGCAGCGAAAUGCGAUAAGUAAUGUGAAUUGCAGAAUUCAGUGAAUCAUCGAAUCUUUGAACGCACAUUGCGCCCGCCAGUAUUCUGGCGGGCAUGCCUGUUCGAGCGUCAUUACAACCCUCAGGCCCCCGGGCCUGGCGUUGGGGAUCGGCGGAAGCCCCCUGCGGGCACAACGCCGUCCCCCAAAUACAGUGGCGGUCCCGCCGCAGCUUCCAUUGCGUAGUAGCUAACACCUCGCAACUGGAGAGCGGCGCGGCCACGCCGUAAAACACCCAACUUCUGAAUGUUGACCUCGAAUCAGGUAGGAAUACCCGCUGAACUUAAGC
rnacentral:rRNA from 1 species